rnacentral:rRNA from 1 species
GAUGAACGUUGGCGGCGUGCCUAAUACAUGCAAGUCGAACGAAGACUGUAGUAAUACUGUCUUAGUGGCGAACGGGUGAGUAACGCGUGGGUGACCUGCCCCGAAGUGUGGGAUAACAGUUCGAAAGAACUGCUAAUACCGCAUAACAUCCAAGAGAUUAGAAGCUUUUGGAUUAAAGGAGUAAUUCGCUUCGGGAGGGGCCCGCGUCCCAUCAGCUAGUUGGUAAGGUAAUGGCUUACCAAGGGCGAUGACGGGUAGGGGACCUGAGAGGGUGGCCCCCCCACAAUGGAACUGAAACACGGUCCAUACACCUACGGGUGGCAGCAGUAGGGAAUAUUAGUAAUGGGCGAAAGCCUGAACUAGCAACGCCGCGUGUGCGAAGAAGGCCUUCGGGUUGUAAAGCACUUUUUGAGAGGAUGAGGAAGGACGGUACUCUCAGAAUAAGUCUCGGCUAACUACGUG